rnacentral:rRNA from 1 species
AUACGGAGGGUGCAAGCGUUAUCCGGAUUCAUUGGGUUUAAAGGGUGCGCAGGCGGACUUGUAAGUCAGUGGUGAAAUCACGGGGCUCAACCUCGGAACUGCCAUUGAUACUGCAAGUCUUGAGUUUGGUUGAAGUGGGCGGAAUGUAGCAUGUAGCGGUGAAAUGCAUAGAUAUGCUACAGAACACCGAUCGCGAAGGCAGCUCACUAAACCAACACUGACGCUCAGGCACGAAAGCGUGGGGAGCGAACAGGAUUAGAAACCCGAGUAGUCC